AGAAAACGGGCUCACUGCAGCUAACAGCCUCACCCCUUGGGCUAGGAAGCCACGGAAGCAAAACCUCCGCCCCGGCCUGAAAGCAACCGGGAGACCGCGGAACCACUGCCACCGACUCAGCCCUGCCCAGCAGGGGCCCGCCCAGGGGCCACUCCCCAAGGGAGGCAGCCAGUCACUCGCCCGCCCUUCCGGGCCCACUCCCGAGGGGACGGUCUCCCGCCCGCCCUCACACACAGCUAGCUCUUCAGGCCAGGCCCCCAGGGUUUCGUCCACCUCUCACCUUUGACGACGCGAAUGAAGAAUGAGGAGGUGCUGCGAUCGAACGACUGCGAGGAAACACACCCGCUCUCAUGGCAUUCCCAGUAAACUGAGAAGACGUGAUUAAACCUCAGGAUCUCCUACUAAUAGAGAAAUGUAUAACGAUUUAGCUACCAGAUCUGAAUACUGAAGGGUUGGUAGGGGACCAGAGAAUAGAGGAAGCAUUGUAGGUUCUAGAGUGGAGAAGGGACCAUCCAAAAUGGAGUUUGAAAGAGAAUUCUGGCCUUUGUGUUUAGAGUCUGGAAUUGUCAAGAGUCUGAAAGCACAGAAUAAGACUGCAGCUAGAGCAAUUUAGGCGCCAUAGUUUGUCAAAACAGGUAAGGGGAAUAAAGGGGAUGACACCAAGAGAUGUGCAAAGAAUCUGAAGAAUUCACCUGAAAAGGAUACAACCUCCUCCUGGAAGGCAGAGGAGUAAAUAGGGAAUUGGAAAUUAAUUCCUUAUUUCUGCACAUGCACAGAAUCUGGGCCCAGGUGACUUAUGGAACCUUUAUAGAGACCACGGUGACUGACACUCAUGGGAAAGGGGGUAGAGGGGCAAGAACUGACUGUUCAUCAAAAAUUAUUAGAUGAGUGUGUCCACGACACCAGGAGAUAUGUUGAAUCAUGGACAGGGACCAGCAUAUCCACUAAGCUCUAUAUAUCUUGAUGGUGCAGGAUCCAAGUGGGAUGGAACAACCAAUUCCUGCCCAUCCUCCUGCUCAAUAAUACAUGUGCUCAGAAUCUGUUCAUAAUGCAUGGUGAGACGGGAUCUCACUGUGUUGCCCAGGCUGGUCUCGAACUGCUGGACUCAAGUCAUCCUCCCAUCUUGGCCUCCCAAAGUGCUGGAAUUACAGUGGACAACCUUCAAUGCACUGGUACUUUGUACCCUGACCUCUACUGUGAUGAACACUCAACUUGGGCAAGGAAGUGAAAUUCUCCAAAGUGGGUUCUGACCCAAUCAGCAGCCUUUGCUUCUCAGAUUCCUCUCAAGGCUUUAUGACUCUUCUCACCCCAGGAAACCCUACAACACGCACGGCCUUUCAGAACUGCUACAUGGAAUGGACAUUCCUCUGGGCUCCAGCUGAAUGUUUGUAAAUAAAAUAAUGACUGCGUGUCCUUAUUUUUGCUGAGUACACAG
rnacentral:lncRNA from 1 species